rnacentral:rRNA from 1 species
AUGCAGUCGAACGGCAGCACAGGAGAGCUUGCUCUCCGGGUGGCGAGUGGCGGACGGGUGAGGAAUACAUCGGAAUCUGCCCAGUCGUGGGGGAUAACCUCGGGAAACCGGGACUAAUACCGCAUACGACCUACGGGUGAAAGCAGGGGACCUUCGGGCCUUGCGCGAUUGGAUGAGCCGAUGUCGGAUUAGCUAGUUGGAGGGGUAAUGGCCCACCAAGGCGACGAUCCGUAGCUGGUCUGAGAGGAUGAUCAGCCACACUGGGACUGAGACACGGCCCAGACUCCUACGGGAGGCAGCAGUGGGGAAUAUUGGACAAUGGGCGCAAGCCUGAUCCAGCCAUGCCGCGUGAGUGAAGAAGGCCCUCGGGUUGUAAAGCUCUUUUGUUGGGAAAGAAAAGCAGCCGGUUAAUACCCGGUUGUUCUGACGGUACCCAAAGAAUAAGCACCGGCUAACUUCGUGCCAGCAGCCGCGGUAAUACGAAGGGUGCAAGCGUUACUCGGAAUUACUGGGCGUAAAGCGUGCGUAGGUGGUUUGUUAAGUCUGAUGUGAAAGCCCUGGGCUCAACCUGGGAAUUGCAUUGGAUACUGGCAGGCUAGAGUGCGGUAGAGGAUGGCGGAAUUCCUGGUGUAGCAGUGAAAUGCGUAGAGAUCAGGAGGAACAUCCGUGGCGAAGGCGGCC